GAUGAACGCUGGCGGCGUGCUUAACACAUGCAAGUCGAGCGAGAAAAGUUCUUCGGAGCUUUUCUAGCGGCGGACGGGUGAGUAACACGUGGGCAACCUGCCUCAUAGAGGGGAAUAGCCUUCCGAAAGGAAGAUUAAUACCGCAUAACAUUGUUGAAAGGCAUCUUUUAACAAUCAAAGGAGCAAUCCGCUAUGAGAUGGGCCCGCGGCGCAUUAGCUAGUUGGUGAGGUAACGGCUCACCAAGGCGACGAUGCGUAGCCGACCUGAGAGGGUGAUCGGCCACAUUGGAACUGAGACACGGUCCAGACUCCUACGGGAGGCAGCAGUGGGGAAUAUUGCACAAUGGGGGAAACCCUGAUGCAGCAACGCCGCGUGAGUGAUGAAGGUCUUCGGAUUGUAAAACUCUGUCUUUAGGGACGAUAAUGACGGUACCUAAGGAGGAAGCCACGGCUAACUACGUGCCAGCCGCCGCCGUAAGAC
rnacentral:rRNA from 1 species